GAAUGCUGACAUAAGUAACGAUAAAGCGGGUGAAAAGCCCGCUCGCCGGAAGACCAAGGGUUCCUGUCCAACGUUAAUCGGGGCAGGGUGAGUCGACCCCUAAGGCGAGGCCGAAAGGCGUAGUCGAUGGGAAACAGGUUAAUAUUCCUGUACUUGGUGUUACUGCGAAGGGGGGACGGAGAAGGCUAUGUUGGCCGGGCGACGGUUGUCCCGGUUUAAGCGUGUAGGCUGGUUUUCCAGGCAAAUCCGGAAAAUCAAGGCUGAGGCGUGAUGACGAGGCACUACGGUGCUGAAGCGACAAAUGCCCUGCUUCCAGGAAAAGCCUCUAAGC
rnacentral:rRNA from 1 species